UGGGCUGAGUCCCUCUUGCUCACCCUUGACUUGGAAAAACCAGUUUCUCUUUUAUUGUCUGUUACUAAUCUCUGUUCUAAAAACUCAGCUCAAUUCUCAACCAUACUCCAAACUCUGUCCUUUCCAGCUACCUUUACUCCCUCUCCUUCAAUUCCACUUUCCUCUGCUUUCAUUUUUUUUUUUCAAAGGGUCUCACUUUGUCACCCAGGCUGGAGUGCAGUGGUGCAAUCUUGGGCUCACUGCAGCGUCAACCUCCCAGAAGCAGGGUUUCACCAUGUUGCCUAGACUGCUCUUGAAUUCCUGAGCUUAAGCAAUCCACCUGCCUCGGCCUCCCAAAGUGUUGGGAUUACAGGCAUGAGCCACUGCAUCCAGCCUCAUGUUCUUUUUCAUUAAAGAGAGAAAUCAACUAUUCAGGACCGGCCCCCACCUUUCCUCAGGAGUCAUUUCUGUUCUGCACAGGCCUGCUGAACUGGGUGCUUUAUAUAGGCAAACUCAAAGCUGGGUCCUGAUAUCUCAAGGCACACGUACUUGUACUUAAAGACAUUGUCAUCUCUCAAGUACCCAUCUUGGAGGGUACGGACCCCACAUGAGGGUGAGGCUCUCUGCACACUCCAGAGUGAGGAUUUGAAUAAUCUAGUGGACUAAAGGACCAACCACACCGAGCUCAGUUAUGGCACACACAGUGGGACCUAGACAAAGGGAGAGGGUGACCAGCAUCCCAACUAGCAGGUGCAAGGACGUGUUGAUGAACUAGCUCUCUGCAGCCUCCUUGGAGAAUGUGAUCCUUGGGGAGGGGUAGGAGUAUUCAGGUCCUCGACAUCUCCCAAGUGUGUGAUUCCAGGACGCCAAAGGCCUUUGGCCAGAUUUCAGUGGAGUGAAGUUCAGGAGGCAUGGAGCUGACAACGAUGAGGCCUUGGCAGUCAAAGCAGCAGCAGCAGCAGAAGCAGCAGCAGCAAGAGUAACUCUGACUUAGGAAGAGAGACAGCCAGAGAGAAGUGUGAUCAAUGAAGGAGACAUCUGGAGUGCACGUGCUUCUUCAGAGGGACUGGUGAUGGGCAGAUUGGAGAAAGCACCACAGAUGGGAACCACUUAAUCUUUCUUUUCUAACACUGAUGCUAUGAAAAUUUGCAUUUUCUGUAACUUGUAAAAAUUAAAAAUUGCUUGUCUACUGAAAA